rnacentral:rRNA from 1 species
UGGGGAAUAUUGCACAAUGGGCGCAAGCCUGAUGCAGCCAUGCCGCGUGUAUGAAGAAGGCCUUCGGGUUGUAAAGUACUUUCAGCGGGGAGGAAGGGAGUAAAGUUAAUACCUUUGCUCAUUGACGUUACCCGCAGAAGAAGCACCGGCUAACUCCGUGCCAGCAGCCGCGGUAAUACGGAGGGUGCAAGCGUUAAUCGGAAUUACUGGGCGUAAAGCGAGCGCAGGCGGUUUCUUAAGUCUGAUGUGAAAGCCCCCGGCUCAACCGGGGAGGGUCAUUGGAAACUGGGAGACUUGAGUGCAGAAGAGGAGAGUGGAAUUCCAUGUGUAGCGGUGAAAUGCGUAGAUAUAUGGAGGAACACCAGUGGCGAAGGCGGCUCUCUGGUCUGUAACUGACGCUGAGGCUCGAAAGCGUGGGGAGCAAACAGG